GAUGAAGAACGUAGCGAAAUGCGAUACUUGGUGUGUAUUGCAGAAUCCCGUGAACCAUCGAGUCUUUGAACGCAAGUUGCGCCCGAAGCCAUCAGGUUGAGGGCACGUCUGCCUGGGCGUCACAUAUCGUUGCCCAAUGCCUAUUGCAGUGCAAUAGGAAUUUCUAGGGCGAAUGAUGGCUUCCCGUGAGCGUUGUUGCCUCGCGGUUGGUUGAAAAUCGAGUCCUUGGUAGGGUGUGCCAUGGUAGAUGGUGGUCGAGUUAGAACGAUACCGAUCAUGUGCAUGCUCCCCAAAAUAUGGCCUCUAUGACCCACACGCGUCUUUUGACGCUCAUGACGAGACCUCAGGUCAGGCGGGGCUACCCGCUGAAUUUAAGCAUAUCAAUAAGCGGAGGA
rnacentral:misc_RNA from 1 species